UACGUAGGGGGGCAAGCGUUUGUCCGGAUUUACUGGGCGUAAAGAGCGUGUAGGCGGCCAAACAGGUCCGUUGUGAAAACUGGAGGCUCAACCUCCAGACGUCGACGGAAACCGUGUGGCUAGAGUCCGGAAGAGGAGAGUGGAAUUCCUGGUGUAGCGGUGAAAUGCGCAGAUAUCAGGAAGAACACCAAUGGCGAAGGCAGCUCUCUGGGACGGUACUGACGCUGAGACGCGAAAGCGUGGGGAGCGAACAGG
rnacentral:rRNA from 1 species